rnacentral:rRNA from 1 species
AAGAGUGAACUAGCUAACUGAAAUCACAUAAAAUAUAAAUGUAUUAAUUGUGAUAAGGUAAGGGAAAAAAUUGAUGUUACCUUACUAUUAGUGUUGUCCAAAACUGGUGCCAGAAGACUCGGUAAGACCAGAAACGCAAACGUUAAUCGUCCUAAUCAGGCGUAAAGGGUUUGUAGGCUGCUUUUACUAUUUAUAUUUAGAAUAGCUCUGAUAAAAUCAGUUAAAUAUUAAUAAAAAUAAAGCUAGAAUCAAAUUGAGGAUAAGCCGAAUAAUACUUAGAGUAGGGAUGAUAUCCAUAGAUACUAAGGGGAAUACUAAAGGUGAAAGCUUUUAUCUACUAUUGAUUGACGCUGAGAAACGAAGGUGAGAAUAGGAAAUAGGAUUAGAUACCCAGAUACCUCUCACUGUCAACGAUGAAUGGUGGUUUGUUAGUUUUAAUAAAAACUGAUAACGAUGUUAACGCGAUAACCAUUCCGCCUUGCGAGUACGGUUGCAAAACUGAAACCAAAAAAAUUAGUCGGUCUCGAAGCAAACGAAGUGGAGCAUGUUAUUUAAUU